GAUGAACGCUAGCGGCAGGCCUAAUACAUGCAAGUCGAACGAGAUUCUUUACUUCGGUGAAGAUGAGAGUGGCGAAAGGGUGAGUAACGCGUGUGCAAUUUGCCCAUAACUGGAGAAUAGCCCAGAGAAAUCUGGAUUAAUACUCCAUAACAUUAUGAAAAGGCAUCUUUUUAUAAUUAAAACUCCGGUGGUUAUGGAUAAGCAUGCGUCCCAUUAGUUUGUUGGCGAGGUAACGGCUCACCAAGACUACGAUGGGUAGGGGGUUUGAGAGGAUGAUCCCCCACACUGGUACUGAGACACGGACCAGACUCCUACGGGAGGCAGCAGUAGGGAAUAUUGGGCAAUGGACGAAAGCCUGACCCAGCCAUGCCGCGUGCAGGAUGAAGGCCCUCUGGGUUGUAAACUGCUUUUAUAAGAGAAGAAACCCCUCUUCGUGAAGAGGGCUGACGGUACCUUAUGAAUAAGGAUCGGCUAACUCCGUGCCAGCAGCCGCGGUAAUACGGAGGAUCCAAGCGUUGUUCGGAUUUAUUGGGUUUAAAGGGUGCGUAGGCGGAUUUUUAAGUCAGUGGUGAAAGCCUGUAGCUCAACUACAGAAUUGCCAUUGAAACUGAAAAUCUUGAGUAUAGUUGAGGUGGAUGGAAUGUUGCAUGUAGCGGUGAAAUGCUUAGAUAUGCAAUGGAACACCAAUAGCGAAGGCAGUUCACUAAACUAUUACUGACGCUGAGGCACGAAAGCGUGGGUAGCAAACAGGAUUAGAUACCCUGGUAGUCCACGCCCUAAACUUUGCAUACUAGUUAUUGGCGAUAUACUGUCAGUGACCAAGCGAAAGCGUUAAGUAUGCCACCUGGGGAGUACGACCGCAAGGUUGAAACUCAAAGGAAUUGACGGGGGCCCGCACAAGCGGUGGAGCAUGUGGUUUAAUUCGAUGAUACGCGAGGAACCUUACCUGGGCUUGAAAGUUAGUGCCCGAUGCCGAAAGGUGUCUUUUCUUCGGAACACAAAACUAGGUGCUGCAUGGCUGUCGUCAGCUCGUGCCGUGAGGUGUUGGGUUAAGUCCCGCAACGAGCGCAACCCCUAUCCUUAGUUGCCAUCAGGUAAUGCUGGGGACUCUAGCAAGACUGCCGGUGUAAACCGUGAGGAAGGUGGGGAUGACGUCAAAUCAUCACGGCCCUUACGUCCUGGGCCACACACGUGCUACAAUGGAGUGUACAGAGGGUAGCCAACCCGCGAGGGGGAGCCAAUCUCACAAAGCACUUCGUAGUCCGGAUCGGAGUCUGCAACUCGACUCCGUGAAGUCGGAAUCGCUAGUAAUCGCGGAUCAGCAUGUCGCGGUGAAUACGUUCCCGGGUCUUGUACACACCGCCCGUCACACCAUGGGAGUGGUUUUCACCAGAAGCUGGUAGCUUAACCGUAAGGAGGGCGCCUGCCACGGUGAGAGUCAUGACUGGGGUG
rnacentral:rRNA from 1 species